GUGCCCCGUCAGGGGAUAAUAGGAAAGCUGGUGUAAUUCCGGCACGGGCCCGUCACUGUAAUUGGAUCAUUCUUAACAGGAUUUUAUCGGCCACUGCCUUGUAAGGUGGGAAGGCGUUUUAGAACUAAGAUCCAUAAGUCAGGAAGCCUGCUGCAUAA
rnacentral:ncRNA from 1 species